AUAUUCGCUGAAUAAAAAUUUAAUCUGUUCUUAUCGGCUUUAUAUCUGAAACGCCCCGCAUGCGGUAUAUUAAUCUAAUUUUUGGAAAUUGACGAAAGUUAGGGGAUUGCUCCACCUUUGUCGCGGGUUGGCCUGGUAUUGCAGUACCGCCAGGAAAAUAUGGUACAACAAUU
rnacentral:snRNA from 13 species